AGCAGAUGUCGAUUAUCUGCUUUGAUAAUCUGAAUUAUAUGGCAGCAUAGAAGCCGGCUGAGUCUCUGAAUGUUGGAAAUAGCAACCUCCCAAGCCUUUCACUAUUUAUUUGUUAAUGUAUAUAUUUGCUAACCUGUAUUCUAUGUGUACCUUGAUUUGCCAGUUUGACUGUAUCUCUUUGGUGUGGGAGGAGUUAUAGACAUGUGAUUGUACUGAGCAUGUUCAGACUCAGGACUCCAUUUUGUAGUCAGUCUGCUUUAUACCUCAGUGGAUGUGGGUGCAUAUUUGCAUCAGACUUCAGUGGAGGUGGAUGCACGUUGCUCACUUCAUCCUCUUAGCUUGCUGCUGUUGUUCAACAUCCAUUUCUCGCCUUGAGGAGACAGAGAGGAGCGAGGUUUUACCAGGAGAGAGAACUCUUUAACAUCUAUUUUAUCCGGAGCGAACGUUUUCUAUCUAUCGUUCAUCCUACCUAAGGAAGUUUGAGCCUGCCUGAUUUUUUACACAAGUUUUUUCUGAAUGCCACAUUCCUGGAGGGGCCCCAGAGCAGCCUUUCUCUAGGAAAGCGAGUUCUGAAGAUGAAUUGCCAGGUGAAGAGGCUAAUGAGCCAGGAGAUAGGAGGCAGAACUUCCAUAAACUUUGGGCGAGUUCUCAAGCAAGCUGAAGGUCAUUGCACUUGUUAGCCAAGAGACUCUUAUCUGGUUGUAAAGGUAAAUAAAAUGAUUUCAUGACAGUCUAUGAGACAGGAAAAGCUUUAUAUGAGAUGAGAAAAAGAUUUUAGUUCAGUCUGGGAAACGUCUAAGGAACACCUUGUAUUAAGCCUUAGCCAAGGGAAUUUCUGGUUUCAUGUUUUCAGCUAUCCAAGUUCUUGUUUUCCAAGUCUGAAGGAUUAUUCUGGAGUUCUGUGUAUUGGAUUUUAUGCCGCCUUGUUUAUCUGGAUAUUUUGCAUUCCUGAUUUUAAAUUUCUAUCUUUGUACCUUUGAGUUAAUGGACUAUUUCAUAUCUAUGGACUAAACUGUUUUCUGAUUUUUACUGCUUUGCCUUUUAUAUAUUCUUCAAUAAACUGCUUGCUGCUUUACUGGAUUGGUGUGGUGGUUAAAUACAGAGGCGUUCCUGCUCUGGGAUUCAAUAGUAUGUUACAUCCACACAGGCCUGAAGCGAGAG